rnacentral:rRNA from 1 species
UAGAAGUUGACGGGGCCGCGACAAGCGGUGGAGCAUGUGGUUAAUUCGACGCAACGCGAAGAACCUUACCAGGGCUGACAUCCCCUGACCGCGUAUGAAAGUACGUUUUCACCCUCGGGUGACAGGGAGACAGGUGGUGCAUGGUUGUCGUCAGCUCGUGUCGUGAGAUGUUGGGUUAAGUCCCGCAACGAGCGCAACCCCUACGUUUAGUUGCUAACAGGUGAAGCUGAGCACUCUAGACGAACUGCCGUUGACAAAACGGAGGAAGGUGGGGAUGACGUCAAAUCAUCAUGCCCCUUAUGUUCUGGGCUACACACGUGCUACAAUGGCCGGUACAGACGGAGGCGAAGCCGCGAGGCGGAGCAAAUCCGAAAAAGCCGGUCUCAGUUCGGAUUGCAGGCUGCAAUUCGCCUGCAUGAAGUCGGAAUCGCUAGUAAUCGCAGGUCAGCAUACUGCGGUGAAUACGUUCCCGGGCCUU